GAUGGACGCUAGCGGCAGGCCUAAUACAUGCAAGUCGAACGAGAUUAAGAGGCUUGCUUCUUAUGAAAGUGGCGCACGGGUGCGUAACGCGUAUGCAACCUACCUUAAUCAGGGGGAUAGCCCGAAGAAAUUCGGAUUAAGACCGCAUAAAAACACAGGAUAGCAUUAUCCAAUGUUCAAAUAUUUAUAGGAUUAAGAUGGGCAUGCGUGUCAUUAGCUAGUUGGCGGGGUAACGGCCCACCAAGGCGACGAUGACUAGGGGAUCUGAGAGGAUGACCCCCCACACUGGUACUGAGACACGGACCAGACUCCUACGGGAGGCAGCAGUAAGGAAUAUUGGUCAAUGGAGGGAACUCUGAACCAGCCAUGCCGCGUGCAGGAAGACAGCCCUCUGGGUCGUAAACUGCUUUUAUUCGGGAAUAAACCUUUCUACGUGUAGGAAGCUGAAUGUACCGAAGGAAUAAGGAUCGGCUAACUCCGUG
rnacentral:rRNA from 1 species